CCUGGAUCUCUUGCUCUGAGGGAAGGUGGGGAGAGAGAGGACCCAACCUUUUGAUUACAUGAUGUCAGAUGGUCCUUCCCCACUGCCACAAAAAAUUCUGCUGUCCUUGUCCUAACACUGGAGCUUCAGUGUCACAACAGCAUCUUCCAGGCCAUAAAUUCCCUUAGAAAAGGAAAAGCAGAUAAACUAAGAAGUGCAUUAACCAAAUGGAUUAACCAAGAAAUAUAGUAACACAAAUUCACGGAAGAUAAGGCUAUCAAAGACUACUAACCAUGAUAGAUAUGUUCUACCUCUACUGUUGGAGACUUUUGAAUACCAGCUGCUGGAAACCACAAGAGGGAAGAGGGCUGCAGCUACAAGCUUCCCAUAGGCAUCUGAUUGGCACUAUGAGAACAGGAGGCUGGACUAGAUGGGCCACUGGCUUGAUAUAUAUAUGCAUAAUUAAACUUAAUGAAUUUUCAUCUUU